GCCGAAGUGGUGGAACUGGCAGACACGCUAUCUUGAGGGGGUAGUGGGGAGACCCGUGGGGGUUCGAGUCCCCCCUUCGGCA
rnacentral:tRNA from 1 species